GGGGUAACGGCCUACCAAGGCGACGAUCAGUAGCCGACCUGAGAGGGUGAUCGGCCACAUUGGAACUGAGACACGGUCCAAACUCCUACGGGAGGCAGCAGUGGGGAAUAUUGGGCAAUGGGCGAAAGCCUGACCCAGCAACGCCGCGUGAAGGAAGAAGGUUUUCGGAUCGUAAACUUCUAUCCUUGGUGAAGAUAAUGACGGUAGCCAAGAAGGAAGCCCCGGCUAACUACGUGCCAGCAGCCGCGGUAAUACGUAGGGGGCAAGCGUUGUCCGGAAUGAUUGGGCGUAAAGGGCGCGUAGGCGGCCCGGUAAGUCUGGAGUGAAAGUCCUGCUUUUAAGGUGGGAAUUGCUUUGGAUACUGCUGGGCUUGAGUGCAGGAGAGGUAAGUGGAAUUCCCGGUGUAGCGGUGAAAUGCGUAGAGAUCGGGAGGAACACCAGUGGCGAAGGCGACUUACUGGACUGUAACUGACGCUGAGGCGCGAAAGUGUGGGGAGCAAACAGGAUUAGAUACCCUGGUAGUCCACACUGUAAACGAUGAAUGCUAGGUGUAGGGGGUAUCGACCCCUUCUGUGCCGGAGUUAACACAAUAAGCAUUCCGCCUGGGGAGUACGGCCGCAAGGUUGAAACUCAAAGGAAUUGACGGGGGCCCGCACAAGCAGCGGAGCAUGUGGUUUAAUUCGAAGCAACGCGAAGAACCUUACCAGUCUUGACAUCCAGUAAAAGCUGUAGAGAUACAGUGUGCCUUCGGCAUACUGAGACAGUGGUGCAUGGUUGUCGUCAGCUCGUGUCGUGAGAUGUUGGGUUA
rnacentral:rRNA from 1 species